CCAGUUAAAAAAAUAUCUUUUUUUUAAACUACAGAAAAAGCAACCAAUGGCGCCUCUUUAAUACCUUUCAAAACUUUUAACACCCAUUCCAUUAUCCCCUUCUCUCAGUAAGUUCGUAUCAGUUACUAGGAAUUUAAUUUUCCGGGAAAAUUCGGGAGCUCGAUUUUUCUUUGGAUAAGAAAAUUGGACACUGGAGAUUAUAAAUGAUGAACUUGGCGGAUCCAUCAAUGUGGAUGCUGGCUGCCAGCGGAGGCGAUACGGUGAAGCUUUUUGAUGUAUCGAGGGAGCCGGGAGAUCCCUGCAUCUCGAGCUACACUCCAUCUCCAGGUUGCCUGGUCAACACAGUCAAGUGGAACCACACUAAUUUGGUUGUGGCUAGUGCUGGAGAAGAUAAGAAGAUAUCUCUCUGGAGGAAAAAUGGGCAGAGCAUGGGGACUAUUCCGGUUGCUGGGACAGAUACCGGAGACAACAUUGAGGAAUCAAUAUUGGCUAUUAGCUUUAGUAACAAGGGAUCCAGAUACAUGUGCUCUGGGGGAAGUGGUCAAGUUGUAAGAAUAUGGGAUCUACAGAGGAAACGCUGUAUUAAAUGGUUGAGGGGUCACACCAGUACAAUAACUGGUGCUCUAUACAAUUGCAAAGAUGAGCAUUUGGCUUCCAUUAGUCUAAGUGGGGAUCUUAUCCUUCACAAUCUUGCAACUGGCGCAAGGGCAGCAGAACUCAAGGAUCCUAAUGAACAGGUAUUGCGGGUGCUAGACUAUUCACGGAUUAGUCGGCACAUUUUGGUGACUGCAGGUGAUGAUGGGUCAGUACAUUUGUGGGAUACUACUGGUCGCAGCCCAAAGAUUUCUUGGUUGAAGCAACAUUCUGCCCCGACUGCUGGUAUUAGCUUCUCACCUUCAAAUGACAAGAUAAUAGCUAGCAUUGGACUGGAUAAAAAGUUAUACACUUAUGACUUGGAGUCUCGGAGACCCUCAUCUUAUAUAUCCUACGAGGCACCUUUCUCUUCAUUGGCAUUCAGAGAUGAUGGCUUGACUUUGGCAGCUGGAACUAGCAGUGGUCGAGUAGUGUUCUAUGAUGUUCGUGGAAGACCACAGCCUUUCACUGUUCUUCGUGCUUAUGGCAGUUCAGAGGCUGUUACAAGUUUGUGCUGGCAAAGAUCAAAACCAGUUGUUGUAAAUGAGAGCACCUGCACUGCUGAGACAGCUCUUCUCGGAAGUGCUGUUGAAGAUUCCAUUCUUAUGCCUGACCCCCUUCCCACUGUGACAGCAUCCAGUGUUUCACUAUCUACAGGAGUGUCAAAUUCUCAUAAUCUUGGCCGUUCUGGUCUUUCUGUAGAAGCAUCGUCUCUUGCUUCAACUAGCAGUGGAUCUGCUUCAAGUAUGCCGUCCUUUGCAGAGGAAACUCCACAUAGGAGCCAUCUGUGGCCUAGUGGAACAUUGACAAGCUUACAUGCUCCUCGUACAAGUUAUAAUUUUAAGGAUGACAUGGAAGUUUUUUCCCCACUUGUUGAUGUCCAUCCUAUCACAUCGGCACUUAAUAAGCUCUGGGAUGAUCACGAGGGUACAAGAAAGGGAAAUCUAUCAAUUGAUAAGAAGCCCUCAUCUUUGUUAUUUCCUUCUGCUGGUAGUAGAUUUCCUUUUGCAGAUGAUGUGACAAAUGAUCAUCCUAUAUUCGAUUGGAAAACUAGUUCAACUUUCAAACAGGAGGAGACCAGAUCUUCUUUUUCACCAUUGGAAUCUACUCCUACUCCAUCUUCAAAAAGUGAAGAAUCCUCCAUCACUCCUCCAGAAGCUUGGGGUGGAGAGAGAUUAUCUGAGAAACUUACCCACUUGCACCAGUCACUCAGUCUACCUUCUCAGUUUGGGAUGUUGACUUCUGGGGGUUUUCCAGAUCUACCAUCUACAAGUCAGAUAAUUAUGAGCUCUUUGACAAAUUCAAACAUGAGUUUUUCAAGUCUGCACCCCAGAGAUGUUUCUUCAAAGCAGGAAAAUUCAACAGGAUUUUCAGAACUCGUUUCCUCUAGUUCCAUGUCUCAGUCUUUGAGUACAAGAAGCAUCAUGGGACAAACUACCCUUGAUGUGCCAGGAUCAGGCUCUUUGACCCUUCCUCGUAGAUUUUCAACUUAUGCUGAGAGAAUAAGCACAGCUUCUUCCUUCAGUAAUGAGAUCUCCCUUUUAGUGAGUUCUCCUAAAACAAAGAAAACAGGAGCUGAAACCAGGGAAGAGCUUUUGAGUAGCUUGUUGUCAAGGUCUGACACGUUGUCUGUGACAGAACAAGGAAUUCUUCCAGCAGUAAAUGGAGGAACCUCACAACCAAAUAAGGCCCUUCAGCUGGAUCAGCAGCAAGGAAAUUCCUUCACACUCCAACUUUUUCAACGGACUCUUGAAGGAACUCUUGAUUCAUUUCAGAAAUCCAUCCAUGAGGACAUGAGGAACCUUCACAUUGAAAUUCUAAGACAAUUUCACAUGCAGGAGAUGGAAUUUUCCAGUGUGAUGAGCUCAAUUGCAAAAAAUCAGGCAGAGCUGAUAAAAGAAAUUAAGUCUCUUCAGAAAGAAAACCAAGAUCUUCGCCAAUUACUUUGAUUAAUAGUGAAGACUGCAUAUUUGUGACCGUCAGUGGAUUUUGGAUUCUGUUGUUCAUUUGCAUGGUUUUGCACUUGAUUGGUGCCCUUCUGUUUUUCAAUUCGAAUGUGGAGAAACUGAACGAAUUCGGAUGUGGAAAAUUUCAGUGGAAAAGACACCUCAAAACCACGAGUAGGAACGGUAGGAUUAAAGAAUUUGGAUCAGAGAAAGCUUUUUCAAUAACAGGAUUGAAGAAAUACAUCUCUGUUUAAAUACAAGUACAAAGAAGCUUAACAAGCUGCUUUUCGUGAAAGUCCAGGUUGACAAAGUAAAGGAACUAGUUAAUCUAAUCAGCAAAUCAUGCUAUUAACAAGAAGCUAAGAACAAUCUUCCUGCCAAUACACCAACAAGGAUGAAAAUCUUAAGCCUUCUGUGGAUAGAGCAGGAUCUCUGCAGAAAGCAAUAGAAGUCUUGACCUGCAGAAAUCUUAACCAUCUCAACUUCUUCUCUUGUUUCAAAUAUUACACCCAAGUUUCUAAGGUUAGUGAGUUUAAGCACUACAGCUCUUCUAAUUA